GAUGAACGCUGGCGGCGUGCCUAAUACAUGCAAGUCGAGCGAACAGACCAGGAGCUUGCUCCUCUGACGUUAGCGGCGGACGGGUGAGUAACACAUGGAUAACCUACCUAUAAGACUGGGAUAACUUCGUGAAACCGGAGCUAAUACCGGAUAAUAUAUUGAACCGCAUGGUUCAAUAGUGAAAGACGGUUUUGCUGUCACUUAUAGAUGGAUCCGCGCCGCAUUAGCUAGUUGGUAAGGUAACGGCUUACCAAGGCAACGAUGCGUAGCCUACCUGAGAGGGUGAUCGCCGACACUGGAGCUGGGACACGGUCCAGACUCCUACGGGAGGCAGCAGUAGGGAAUCUUGCGCAAUGGGCGAAAGCCUGACGGAGCAACGCAGCGUGAGUGAUGAAGGUCUUCGGAUCGUAAAACUCUGUUAUUAGGGAAGAACAAAUGUGUAAGUAACUAUGCACGUCUUGACGGUACCUAAUCAGAAAGCCACGGCUAACUACGUG
rnacentral:rRNA from 1 species